GAUGAACGCUGGCGGCGUGCCUAAUACAUGCAAGUCGAGCGAACAGAUAAGGAGCUUGCUCCUUUGACGUUAGCGGCGGACGGGUGAGUAACACGUGGGUAACCUACCUAUAAGACUGGAAUAACUCCGGGAAACCGGGGCUAAUGCCGGAUAACAUUUAGAACCGCAUGGUUCUAAAGUGAAAGAUGGUUUUACUAUCACUUAUAGAUGGACCCGCGCCGUAUUAGCUAGUUGGUAAGGUAACGGCUUACCAAGGCAACGAUACGUAGCCGACCUGAGAGGGUGAUCGGCCACACUGGAACUGAGACACGGUCCAGACUCCUACGGGAGGCAGCAGUAGGGAAUCUUCCGCAAUGGGCGAAAGCCUGACGGAGCAACGCCGCGUGAGUGAUGAAGGUCUUCGGAUCGUAAAACUCUGUUAUUAGGGAAGAACAAAUGUGUAAGUUACUGUGCACGUCUUGACGGUACCUAAUCAGAAAGCCACGGCUAACUACGUG
rnacentral:rRNA from 1 species